CGCGUAGGUGGUUGUGUAAGUCAGAUGUGAAAUCCCGAGGCUCAACUUCGGAACUGCAUCUGAUACUGCAUGACUCGAGUGCAGCAGAGGGAAACGGAAUUCCUGGUGUAGAGGUGAAAUUCGUAGAUAUCAGGAGGAACACCGGUGGCGAAGGCGGUUUCCUGGGCUGACACUGACACUGAGGCGCGAAGGCGUGGGUAGCAAACA
rnacentral:rRNA from 1 species